AGGAAUGCGACUUCGGUCAAAUGACUUUUGAACUUAGUGGCGGACGGGUGAGUAACGCGUGAGCAACCUGCCUUUCAGAGGGGGAUAACAUUUGGAAACAGAUGCUAAUACCGCAUAAGAUUACAGUACCGCAUGAUACAGUGAUCAAAGGAGCAAUCCGCUGAAAGAUGGGCUCGCGUCCGAUUAGAUAGUUGGUGAGGUAACGGCUCACCAAGUCGACGAUCGGUAGCCGGACUGAGAGGUUGAACGGCCACAUUGGGACUGAGACACGGCCCAGACUCCUACGGGAGGCAGCAGUGGGGAAUAUUGCACAAUGGGCGAAAGCCUGAUGCAGCAACGCCGCGUGAGGGAAGACGGUUUUCGGAUUGUAAACCUCUGUUUUCGGUGACGAACAAAUGACGGUAACCGAGUAGGAAGCCACGGCUAACUACGUGCCAGCAGCCGCGGUAAUACGUAGGUGGCAAGCGUUAUCCGGAAUUACUGGGUGUAAAGGGAGCGCAGGCGGGAUAGCAAGUCAGCUGUGAAAACUAUGGGCUCAACCCAUAAACUGCAGUUGAAACUGUUAUUCUUGAGUGGAGUAGAGGCAAGCGGAAUUCCGAGUGUAGCGGUGAAAUGCGUAGAUAUUCGGAGGAACACCAGUGGCGAAGGCGGCUUGCUGGGCUCUAACUGACGCUGAGGCUCGAAAGUGUGGGGAGCAAACAGGAUUAGAUACCCUGGUAGUCCACACUGUAAACGAUGAUUGCUAGGUGUGGGGGGUCUGACCCCCUCCGUGCCGGAGUUAA
rnacentral:rRNA from 1 species